rnacentral:rRNA from 1 species
UAGGGAAUCUUCGGCAAUGGGGGGAACCCUGACCGAGCAACGCCGCGUGAGUGAAGAAGGUUUUCGGAUCGUAAAGCUCUGUUGUUAAGGAAGAACGAGUGUGAGAAUGGAAAGUUCAUGCUGUGACGGUACUUAACCAGAAAGGGACGGCUAACUACGUGCCAGCAGCCGCGGUAAUACGUAGGUCCCGAGCGUUGUCCGGAUUUAUUGGGCGUAAAGCGAGCGCAGGCGGUUAGAAAAGUCUGAAGUGAAAGGCAGUGGCUCAACCAUUGUAGGCUUUGGAAACUGUUUAACUUGAGUGCAGAAGGGGAGAGUGGAAGUCCAUGUGUAGCGAUGAAAUGCGUAGAUGUAUGGAGGAACACCGGUGGCGAAAGCGGCUCUCUGGUCUGUAACUGACGCUGAGGCUCGAAAGCGUGGGGAGCGAACAGG